AUGGACAUUCUAAGCCUUGCAUUUCGGAACAUAUGGAGGCUGAAGGAAUGGUCCAUUUCAUAUCCAGACCAAUGGAGACAGAAAGAUGGCGUCAACUGUGGUGUCUUCGUCUGCACGGCAGCUGAGCUUGAUAUCAAAGGGACAGACAUGACGAAUGAAUCCUUGAACCAAGUGCAGUUGGGCCAUCUCAGGAUUUAUCAUGCAGCCUGCUUGAUUGCUGAUUCUGUUCCUAAGGGGAAGAAAGUGCGUGAGUCUUGCAUGGCAGAGGCAAUUCAUGCCUGCAAUUACUACGACAGCACUGGAAAGGGGCAGUCAAGACAGUUAUAUCCACAUGUGCAGAAGGAGGACUGGGUGAAAUGUGAGACAUGCAAUGGCUGGCUGCACAAAGACUGUGCCUGUUAUGAGCCCAGUCAGUCAGGCAUUUUCACAUGUGGGUGUGACCUGCCUGAGCCAUACACCUUCACCAGUACUUUGACCUGCCUCAAGAACAAAGGCGUUGAAGGCCUCAUUUCCAAGGAAAGAAUAAAGGAACUGAAAGAAAUGCUGGACAGUGGGGAGAGGAAAUCCAACAGGAUGUUCCUUUGGCAAAACCCUGGGGGAAACCGUGCCCUGAAGACAAUCCUUAAUGGAAAGCCAACAUGUUUCAAUGAGAAACACAUGAAUGACCUCAUUGGUCUCAUAAAGCCAACGCUGUCGUUGGAUUACAGUCGCCUCACCAACAUUGAUUUCGUCAUUGAUGUCAUGGUGCCAGAGACCACAAUUGACAUAUUGGUGAGGCUAGAAGGGUUUUCAAGAUUUUAUGCCGAGAAAAUCCUCGGAACGAUCAUCGAGUGAUCAGGUGCUGGAUCAAUCAAGAACAUUCGACUGUUACUUUUGUUACUGCACUGUGUGCUACUUGGAUUGAAUUUUUAAUUAUAUCUUUACAUUUUUGUAUUUCCAUUUGAUAUUGCUUUGUGUGAUGGCCCCUGCUGUUGAGGCAGCAGCCUCCUGAUGUGACUAGGGUUUGUGGGAGGAGUUUUGGAGUAUCAUGGGCACCUGGGCCCAGUGUCCUGAGAUUAUAAAACCCAUGAUUCAUUCAUUCAUUCUCUCUCUCUUCUCCAGCAGACGUCCCAUGGGGUGAUGUGGCAGCCGCAGUUUAGUUCCUUUAUGCUCAGUUCAUGCACUCUACAACAUACAUCCAUUACAUCUUACACACAUUCACAUCCUACACUACUGAUAGUACUGAUGUUCACAUCCCAUUUAUUCAUUAUUUUCCUUAGUCUCACAUUUUUUUCUCUUUGUUUAAUAAAUUUACUUUGUAACACCUCCUUCAUUAAGUGUGUCUCCCAUCUUGUCAUGGCCCAAAGAGCCAGGUUGUGACACUUUGUCACUCAACUCUACAUUUUUUCCUCCACUACAUGUAUUUGACAUUCGUUUUGGCCAAGAUUUGAUACAAAGGGUAAUGUGACAAGCUUUUACAAUGCAAUACAUUGGUAAAGUUUAAACCAGUCAGAAAGACAGGGCCCUGUAUAAUCGAUAGUACUACUCAUAGUACUACGACUAAUGAUAUUAAUUUAAUCAUUAUUAUGAGUUCUAUUAAUAAUAAUGAUCAAUAACAUUGGAUAGACAAACGAUUAUGGCUUCUCACAGUUAGGCUAUUCUGCUAACACAGUGAGGAAAGGGAAAAGUUGUAUUAAAAAUAAAUACAAACAAACAAACACUCCACAGAUCACUCAACUGGUCCGAACUACAGAACAGAUCACAGAGCAGCUGGUCAGGACCACUGUGCCACUGGUCAGUACCAGUAUCUUUGGCGCCCCUAGUGGUAGUGACCAGUGGUCCGUGCCAGAGACCAGCUGGUCCUGACCACAGGGAUCCUCAUAAUCAAUAAUGAUAACAAUAUUAAUCACAAUAAGUCUGAUAAAGUGUGUUUUAUAGACAGAAUAUCAUGAUGUGUGACAUUUAUCCAGCUAAGAGUGCUGCCUCAACGACUGGAAAGGGGAGAAAAUCAGCAAGUCACUUUACAAACCACAGGGACCACAGGGCAGAUCACUGAGGAGCUGGUCAGGACCAGUGUUUUUAGCGCCCCUAGUGGUAGUGACCAGUGGUCCGUGC
ensembl:lncRNA